GGACUACCAGGGUAUCUAAUCCCGUUUGCUCCCCACGCUUUCGCGCAUCAGCGUCAGUUCCGGUCCAGUGAGCCGCCUUCGCCACUGGUGUUCCUCCCAAUAUCUACGCAUUUCACCGCUACACUGGGAAUUCCACUCACCUCUCCCGGACUCAAGCCAAGCAGUUUGGAGGGCAGUUCCUCGGUUAAGCCGAGGGAUUUCACCUUCCACUUGCCAGGCCGCCUACGCGCCCUUUACGCCCAAUAAUUCCGAAUAACGCUUGCCCCCUCUGUAUUACCGCGGCUGCUGGCAC
rnacentral:rRNA from 1 species